rnacentral:tRNA from 1 species
GUUUUUGUGGUUGAAUUACAACGGUGGUUUUUCAAGUCACUAGUCUUGGUUAGAAUCCAAGCAGAAACC